rnacentral:lncRNA from 1 species
UCCCAUCCCACCCUCCUUCCCUAUAUAACAUGAACGAGGCCUUCGCCAAUCGUCACAGGCAAUCCACCAUGGCCUCCCGUAACCUCUCCUCCCUCCUCCUCGUCGUCCUCCUCGUCUUCGCCGGCUAUGCCGGUUCCCACGCCGGCAGCAUCGCCGUGUACUGGGGCCAGAACGGCAACGAGGGCGGCCUUGCCGACACCUGCAACACCGGCAUCUACUCGUACGUGAUGCUGGCUUUCCUCACCACCUUCGGCAACGGGCAAACCCCCGUCCUCAACCUGGCGGGCCACUGCGACCCCCCCUCCGGCACCUGCACCGGCCUCAGCUCCGACAUCCGCGCCUGCCAGUCCCAGGGCAUCAAGGUGCUCCUCUCCCUCGGUGGCGACUCCAGCAGCUACUCCCUGUCCUCCUCCGACGACGCCGCGAGCGUGGCGACGUAUCUGUGGGCCAACUACCUCGGCGGCUCGUCCAGUUCGCGCCCGCUGGGUGACGCCGUCCUCGACGGCAUCGACUUCGACAUCCAGCAUGGCGGCCCCGACCACUACAACGAGCUGGCGAAGCAGCUCUCCGACUUGGGCGGCCAGGCUGGGACCAAGGUGUACCUCUCGGCGGCGCCGCAGUGCCCCUACCCGGACCAGUCCUUGGGGAACGCGCUGCAGACGGGGCUCUUCGACUACGUGUGGGUGCAGUUCUACAACAACCCCAGCUGCGACUACUCGUCGGGGGUCAGCGGCCUGAGCAGCGCAUGGGGGACGUGGACGUCGAGCUUGUCGUCAUCGACCGUCUUCCUGGGGCUGCCGGCCUCGCAGGACGCGGCCGGGAGCGGGUACAUCCCGCCCGACGUCCUCACCUCCCAGGUGCUGCCGGCGAUCAAGACUGCGUCCAACUACGGCGGCAUCAUGCUGUGGAGCAGAUACUACGAUCUCAACAGCGGGUACAGCGCUGCCGUGAGGAACAGUGUUUGAGAUGGCGAUGUACUCACUACCAUAUGUGUGCUUCCGAUUACGAGGUCAUGAAUAAGGCGGGACAGUGAUAGAAAGGUGUUCCAGAUUGAUGUGACGAUGCGUCCCAAUAAAAUAAAGAUUGCGUGUUUUUAUGGAGGCAUUGAGGUGGUCAGAGUAAUAAAUAAUACAUAAGUGAUAUAUCUUAAAUUUAAAUUUAGAUGUGAGCAUCAUAUUUGAGUACACGAGUAUCAUGUCCGUUAUUUAUAGUACUAUUUUUUUUUAUUUUAUAAAAAUAAAAAAAUAUAUAAAGUAUGCUUGACACGUGAAAUAAUUAAAAUAAACCCAUAGACGGACCAAGAAAGGUGGUGUAUCGAUGACAAUUGAUGCAAAUAACAAAUUCAGCAAAUAUUCAUGAAUUGAUGAUGGCUUCGUUAAUUAAGAGACAAGUUUGCAUAUUAUAAACAAGCUGGUUUUUCUCGUUUCUAAUAAAAACAUUCUAUAGGCUGAUCGCAUUGAAAUAAACUUUAUCUUAUAAACAAUGGAAUUAUAUUUUUAAUUAUUUGUUCUGUAAGCUCUUCUUCAUAUAUUCGUUUCUUUGAUCAUGCAAGACGUAGUUUGGUCGGAGAUGACGUACUUUGUCCGCAAAGAAGAAACUCGAGGAUGUGUAGGCCUUCCUUCACCUUUAAAAAAAUGUUCUCGACAUAAUAAAAAUACUUCUAUUUUUAAUAAAGCAUUUUAUACGAGAAAGCUUUCACUAUUAGACUUUUAUUAAAUAGAAAUGAUGCUUCUCUAAUUGGUUUUUACACGAGACAUCCUUUGCCUCUAUCUCUUUGCCUUCGGUCAUUGAAUAUGACCUUUCUAACCAACAUGGAAUGUUGUCUAAUCAUAAUUCCUCAUGCGUUUCUUCCGAAUGGGCCAUAUGCCCCUAAUUUUUGAAUCGAUGUUCAUGUUGGGUUAGGGUCCGAAUAAAUUGAGGUUUACCCAACAAAAUAAUGACUCGUCUAAGUUUGGUCUGUUGCCGUGAAUGUUUCAUGCGACGAAUCAAUUGCAGUGGAUUUGCUUGAAGCUCACCAUAUAUGUUCUUGCUGUCAACCCAGUGCGACGCUCAUUAAUCCUAUAUUAUAGGAGUGAGAAUUAUAUUAUUCCCGGGGAGAUUAUCAUUACCAACGAUAUUGUUGUUUGCUGAGUGUUACAGUUUGAUCUUGUUUUUGAAGACGUAAGGUCAUUUGAGGAUCCCUCGUGGCUGUCUGUCUGGCGAGGGAGCUAGUGUGGCACCGAAGAAUCUGAGAUAGUUUCUAAGGAUUCGAGAUGGACUUCGAUCUUCCCAGGUUCCUGCACAAAGGUUAGUGUCGGGCGGAGUUUCCCGACCUGACUUCUCCGAUGUUCAAAUUAGUUUUGUGGAGUUGUGUGAGGUAUAAAGGGUUUUUGUGAAAAGAGGUCCGACCCUUGGGCAAGCGUCGGGGGUUGGCUUUUAUACCUGGGCGAUCAAGGAGAUCGUUUGUUAAUAUUAUAAUGCCCUCCGCAUAGCAUUUUGUCCAUGUGAAUGAGAGGCCCGAGCGAUCCUCUACAGGUUAUCGUCUACAAAGGCCAACUGAGUGGGGAUAUAUCAGAAGGAUCACCCGGAGACCACUAUUCUUGGUGAUCGACAAAAUUAAUCGGAACGAUCUCCCGUGAACUAUUAUCUAUGAGGGCCGCCAAGUGCCCCACGAUGCUAUCGAGUUGGGAGGUGAUUUACCCUUACCUUCCAUGUCGACAUCUCGGUGGCGAUCAACUAUAAAGCUAGUUUUGUCAAAAUAUUUCCUAUUAGAUAUAUGAACCUGAUGUAAGAUGGGAACCUUUAACUCUAUCGAUAUUUCAUUAUCAUGAACUUACCUUAAUUUAUCUAAACCGUAUAUCACAUUCAUGCAAAGAGUUAAUCUUUCAAUGUGAAAAAAUAGAUAGUGACAUGUGAAUGCACUAUAAUAGUGACUUGGCUUAAAGCAUAAACUAAGAUUGCACUAGCAUCAUCGAAUAAAAUAAUUUAGUGGCAUGCUUUCACUUAUGCUCGAUAGCUUCUUGUUUUCUUUACUAGAACAAAAAUACAUUGCUUUAAAAGUAGCUUCAAGUAGGAAUUGAACUGCUUUAGUAGCUUCAUGUUCGAUCUUAUACAAUGUAUAGACUUGGAGAAAGAAAAACGAGGAUGAUGCAAGCCAAAAUUAACGAACUUUAAAUGAAUAGUCUAAGACAUGAGAGAAUAAAUGAGUUAGAGACCGGCGAAGCACCAUUAAGUGAUGAGAUAAAAAGAGAAUUUUGUAUACGAACAAAUAAAUCAUAACACGUAGCAGAAUUAAAUGAAAAUCAUAGUCAAAUAUAAUAUCAAAAUUUACGUAAAAAAUCUCUCCAACACGAAGGGUAAAAACCAUAGGGUAAGCAAGAGAAAAUCUACUAUAAAAAUAAUGAAUAUACAAAUCUCAGAGUCUUUUGCCCAAAACCCAAGCAACAAUCACAAGAGAAUAACUAUGAUAUAAGGAUUACGUCAUUGUGCAUAAUAUCUAAAAUCUCCUCAAGUGAUCACAACAAGAAUCUACAAUAAAUCUGAUCUAAUAUGAUAUUAUAAUACUUCUUGGAUGAUUGAGAAUAGUCUCUAUAUUGUCCUUGUCUUCUUUCCUUUCCUUCUUCUCUUGUUUUUCUUUCCUCAACUAUCACUGCUGCUUCUCUCUUUUUUACAACCAUCGCUGCCCUCUUUUUUUGCCCUAGAAACCAUACUUCUUGGUUAAAAGAGAAAAGAGUUAAGAUUAAAGUGGGCUGUGAAUAAUUAAAGCCUACUAUGAGUUGAAUAAUGAGUCAUUUGCCCAACAAUCUUCCUCUUCAGCCCAUAAGGGAGGUUGUCUCAUGACUCCUCAAUGUGAAAUCAUACCGACAAACUAUUGGUAAUCUUUUGCCUUUAUUUUGGUAAGGUCUUUAUCAACAUAUUUGCUCUAUUACCAUCUGUAUGAAUUUUCUAAAGUUGUAACUGCUUCUCUUCAAGUAUAUUUCGAAUCCAAUGGUAUCUGACAUCUAUAUGCUUUGACUUGGAUUGAAAAGUUGUGUUCUUACACAAAUAGAUGACGCUAUGACUUUCACAAUACACUACAUAGUUUUUUUUUUUUCGGUCAUAAUUUUUGUAAGAAUUUUUUUAUCCAUAAUAUUUCUUUGCAAACCUCUAUAGUAGUAAUAUAUUCUGCCUCUAUGGCGGAGAGAGCAAUAUACCUUUGCAAUCUGGAUUGCCACGACACAACUCCCCUUGUAAAAGUAAGUACAAAACCUAAUGUAUACUUCAUUGUAUCAAUAUCUAUUGUCGUAUCUGCAUCUGUGUAACCUGUCAAUAUAGAUGGUCCACCUCCAAAGCUUAAAAAAAAUAAUGACUCAUCUAAGUCUGGAUUGUUGCCAUGAAUGUAUCAUGCAACAAAUCAAUUGCAUUAGGUUUGCUCGAAGCCCACCAUAUAUGUUGCUUGAUGUUAGCCCAGUGCAACACUCAUUCAUCCUAAAUUAUAGGUGUGAGAAUUAUAUUAUUCCUCAUGAGAUUGUCAUUAUCAAUUAUAUUGUUGUUGCCUGAGUGUUGUCAAUUGAUAGUCGGUAUGAUUUGGUCUCAUUCUAAAGUUGCAAGGUCAUCCGAGGAUCCCUCGUGGUUGUCUAGCGAGGUGGUUGGUGUGGUGUCGAUGAAUCUAAGGUAGUUUCUGAGGAUCUAGGAUAGACUUUGGUUUUCUUAGUGGGUUUAUGCACAAAGGUUAAUAUCGGGGGGAGUUUCCCGACCCGACUCGAUCUCUCUGAUGUUCAAAUUAGCUUUGUGAAGUUGCGUGGGGUAUAAAGGAUUUUCUUAAAGAGAAGUCCGACCCUUGGACAGCCAUCAGGGGUUGACUUUUAAACCUAGGCGAUCGAGGGGAUCGUUUGUAACUGUUGUAAUGCCCUCCACAUAGCAUUUUGUCCAUGUGAGCGAUAGGCUCGAAUGACCUUUUGCGGGUUGUCGUCCACAAAGGCCGAUUGAGUGGGACAUACCUGAAGGAUCACCCGGGGAUCACCAUCUUUAGUGACCGACAUGAUUUUCCCAAACGACCUCCCGUAUACUAUUGUCCAUAGGAGUUGAUAGGUGCCCCACGAUGGGGUGACAAACCUGACGAUGGAGGCUUGAAUAGCUUGGAGGAUGAGAUGAUCUUGGGGUAAUCAUAGUUUAUGGGCUGGAUUUAGUACUAGACUAGGGUCUUCUAGGAUAUUGAUAAUUGUGAUGGACAAUGAAGAGAGCUAUUGACACAGUCUCGUAGAUCGUAUCCAAAUAGGAGAUUAGAAAAUUAUGCACGUCAAGAUGUGUAGUUGUCAUCUUUAGAUAAUUUAAAAGGGAUGAGUGUUACUUGAUGGUGAUAAGACAUAUGUUGAGAAGUGAUAUAUUCCCUGAGGGGAUAAUAACUAGAGCGUUAGAGGUAGAUGAUAAAGAUAUUUUGAGGAUAGGUAUAUGAGAGAGUAAGGGAGUUGUCAGCUGUAGAAGGAGAGUGGAAGAUGGCUCCAAUGAGGAUCGUAGUGAUUGCUGCAGCAGGUUGAGGUAUCUUCUUCUUCGCCCCUCUAGGAGGUCUCAGAUCCUUAGACAGAGAUAUUUAUCGAAGGAGGCAUUUGGGCGAGCAGAUCUUAAUGGGCUGAAGGUGCGGCCUGGAGGAGCAGUUCUAAUGGCGAAAGGAGAAGUUGAAGGAAGUUUGUUUCUGGAGCGAUUGGGUCUCGAUCGAGGAAAUCUCGCUGAUCAGUUGAGGGAAUUCCUUUCUUCUAACAUGUAUAAAUAGACAUUGUAUUCAACUAAUUGAAGAGUGCUUUGUCAUUACAUUUCAUUUUCUCAUGCUAUCAGAGUUGUAGUGAGCGAACGCUAGCGCAGAGCGACAGAGGGAGAAGAUAGACAGUCGUUGUUCGUUUAGGAGGAAAUCAGUGAUCUGAUCAACAAUCACUAAAGGUGGCAGCACCUGCGCUUCCUUUGGGAGCAUCGUCCGUGGUGAAGAGAGAAGAAAUAGGGAUGCUACACUAAAGGGAAGGGAUCGCCUUGCGCACGAACGCAGAUCAUCAGUCGUCGGUCGCCUUGCACUUGCUUGGGAGGUGGAGACCUUUGACAGGAGAUGUGGCACUUGCGUUUGGAGUAGCAGAGGCAACAACAAGAGCAGAUUCUCGAGUAAGUGACGCAAGCUUCCAUGAUCUUGAUGUCGGUGUAGCAAGAGGAGGCACUCCUCGUGCGCAGCUUGCAAUCUACAAGGUGUGCUGGGGUGCGCGGCUAGCAAUCUACAAGGUGUGCUGGGAUGUCAGGUUUGAGGAUGCUUGGAGUGGCAAAAUUUUGUCCUCUCGAUGAGAAGUAUGCAACAGAAGGCACCGGUGAGCAGCUGAACCGGUGCCGGGUGGUGGGCUCGAAAGGUGCGGGCGUUGGCUUUGCGCUUGCCACCGUUCUCCUCAAAGGCUACACGGAGGCGACCAAUGAGGGCGUCAGGGAGAGCUUUUCUGCCGGAUGAAGAGCCUUGAGGGAGGAAGAAGUGGCAGUAUAAGUUGCCUCAUCUAGACGACCAAGACACACAAUGGAAGCCACCUCGUCUAGGCGACCGGGACCGAUGAUUCGUUGAUGGAGAGGAAGGUAUAGUAGCAGACAAGGUGGAUACGGAGGAUCUCGUUGAUCUACUCCUCAUUGGCCUCGCAAGCAUGAUGUUGUCAUGCUAGUGGCGAUACUGAUAGAAGGUGAGUUAGCUAUCGCUGAACAUCGAGGAAGAGAAGAGAAAUCUUGCUAUAACGCAAGGGCUCUGAUACUGAUAAAAUGAAAUGUAAUGAUAAAGUACACUUCAAUUAGUUGAAUACAAUAUCUAUUUAUACAUGUAAGAAGAGAGGAUUUAUCUGAUCAGUAAAAUUUUCUCGUAUAGUUGAAGAAAUCUUAUCUGUUAUGAGGAUCUUCUAAUAUGUAUAGACUUUAGACGAUGAGAUGAUCUUCUAAUAGAAAGAAAAAUGAGGAUGAUGUGAACUUUAUAUGAAUAGAAUAAGACAUGGAAGAAUAAAUGGGAUGGAGAUUGACGAAAUCUUCACUUGGAUUACCAUCUUAUUCUAAAGACUUGAGCUGGAGGAAAAGGGUCCCAAACCUAACGACACAAUGUCGAUGCCUAUACGUAUUCUCCUCCGUAGAUCAUGACCCACUACCAACUCUUGACCGUGUUGUUCUUGACGAGGACUAGUCAUCAACGAAGCUCCGAGGUCACCCUAAUAUUUUAAGAAGGUUCAGAUGACCUGGGAGACUUCCAUCUCUCUCUGUUUGUGUUGGAAUUCUAAUGUAAACCCUUAUGCCAGGAUUAAUACUUAUAAUAAACCUUACACGAAGUUGGCUCUUUCCUAAUCGCUUAAGGUUUUGAGACUAACUGUAUCUCAAUCAAAAUUCGUAUCGUGAUAUUAAAAUAUAUUCGAGUGUGAAAUUUACAGUCAUAGAGCAAAGAUGAUGAUCCUCGUGAGUUUCUUUGGUCUUAGCUUAGUGGCGAGGAGUCACAAUCGAUUAGGAAAUCCGCUAAGCUGGCGCCGGCCAUUAAUUGACUCAUCGAUGGUGCGUCGACUAUGGAGAAAGACUAACAAGUUCGUGGUCGUUCCCAUGACGCAGCGGAAACCGUGUGCAAGCAGGGUUGAAGAAGGCGAACACGUCUUUCUUCCCCCAUUAAUUUCGCUCACCGCAUGUUGCAAGCCAAAGCUCAAAGGGCUUUACAUGAACAGAGUAUGGCAUUGAAGAAUUAAAGGUGUGGCGAUUAAUAUACUCCAUUAACCUUUUUGUGCUAACUUAGGUUCUGAUGGUGUGACAUGUGAGUAAGGUUCGGAGCCAAUCAAUGUUUACUUUUGACUCCGUCUCAGUCCGAGAUGUUGGGUAGCUGUUAAAGUCAGAUUUGUCGAGUCGAUUGCCUCGGCUAGUCGCUGGUGCAUCGUUUGACUAUGAACACCAACGUCAGCAUUUUCGCCUCCGUCGUUGUCCUUGUCCCACCGCCACCUCUAGGCUGAGUUGUUCCUUGCGAAGACUCGGUCGCAGGACCUUCUCGUAGUUCCCACCGGGGAGACUGACUUCACUUCCAUCCUUCUCUACGUGUUGGAAUUAUACAUCGGAUGCUCAUGCUUCAUUGCGAGGAUGAAUACUGACAAACCGAACACAUCGGCUGCGGUUGUUUAGGAUGAUGACGACCCAUUCAUUCCCAGCAGCCUCAUCUGCACGAGACUUCCUCGGAGUUUCCCUUCUGCAUUACGUCAAUGAAUUCAGUCUCAAAAUCAGUUCAAGAGUACCGGCAUACGCAUUAGAUAGAUCGAAUAGAGUCGGAUGCCCGAAAAGAAUCGAUCUACCGCCAUCCUUAUCUCUGUCCUUGACGAUGUUUGCACAGAGACGACUCGAUCCCUCACAAGUCGACUGUCUCAGUUGGUCGCUGGUGCAUCGACCAUAGAGGAAGACCAAAUAAAUGAAGGCGUGAAUGAGGCGGUGGCAACCGUACGCGAAGCAGACUCGAAGAAGUCUGCUCGCGGCGGAGCGCGCCACAGAAAUAUAAUAGAUUGUAAGAUUUUAUAUACUUCGAGGAUACGUUUCUUCUCAUGCUUAACCUCAAAGAAAGCUGGAAAUCACUUAAGCACAUGAGUUACAAAAAAACACUACAGCAAUACAAAUAAAUUAUACGAUGCAAAGAUGAUGAGUAGAUGAGCGCCUCUUCUAAGAGUCAUCCAACAGUUAGUCAAAGUCUUCAUGUCUUCAUCCCAAAGCGCAGCCUCCCCCUGUCAUCUCCUCUUCUCUGGUGCAGGUCCCAUCCCACCCUCCUUCCCUAUAUAACAUGAACGAGGCCUUCGCCAAUCGUCACAGGCAAUUCACCAUGGCCUCCCGUAACCUCUCCUCCCUCCUCCUCGUCGCCCUCCUCGUCUUCGCCUUCUCUGCCGGCUCCCACGCCGGCAGCAUCGCCGUGUACUGGGGCCAGAACGGCAACGAGGGCGGCCUUGCCGACAC